GCUGGGUUAUAGUAAAAAAACUCCAACCUGACCGGUCAAUCCAGUUGCUUUUUCUGGUCUAAGACACACCACCUUUAACAAGUUUAACAGGAGUAAUUUUACCAAAUGUUUAUUUUCAAAAAUUAGACUGCAAAUCCAAGAGGAUCGUUUACAAACAACAACAACAAAAAAAAGACAAUGACCUUCAAUUAAGUUAAGAAACCAUCCAAGAUUUAUGAGCUUCUCUGACCAAUACCAACUAAAAAGAUGAACUUAUAAAUUGCCUUAGGAUUGUCACAUACAACAAAAUUGAACUAACAAGUUUAACUGUCUUAAAUACAUCAAAAGUAAAAUAUAU
rnacentral:lncRNA from 1 species